UUUAAUUGUACUUAUUUUGAUAAUGUUAUAUUUGCCAUAAAUUUUUAUAAACCCUGAUGUAACACACUGAGUCAGUACUAAUCUAGAGAGAGAGAAAAAAUGUUUGUUCUUGUAACAUUUUAUUAACAUUUUAGUUUUUAGGCAUUCAAUUUAAUUUGAUGUGUGAUUAAAUUGAUCCCUGGCAGUUUUAUCCAAAUCAUUAAAAAUCAUUUCUUAAGAGUUUUACCAGGAUAUUUCACGUUUUUAUAAAUAAAAUAAAUGCAGGAUCAGUUUCCUUGAAGUCGUUAUCUCUGGGCUGAGAAACACAAUCUGGCUUGUCCCUGAUAGAACGAUAAGAACUACCUAUUUUCAGAUCAUCGGAUUGCAGUAGAUCUGAGUCACGCUGAAUGAAGUCUAAAUAAAAAGAACCGCUUGGGGAAAAAUAAAACAGUGUUUAUUGAUGUGGCAUUUGACAUUAACUGCAACACACAGGAACAAAAUCCCACCUUUCCCUGACGUGUGCAUCCUGAGAAAUGAUUUUCAUGAUAUAAUAACACGGGUCAGCUUCACAUUCUCUGUAAUGUGUGAAAUGACUUUACAGCAACUCUAAUCCUAAUCUGGUUUCACAUGCGGAUUCUCCGUGUGCCUCCUUUGACCUUGUGUCACACGGCUCAUUUUCAAAUCCACUUUUCUGAUGCAAACUGGAUGAAACGCCCGAACAAACCAAGCAGCUGAAUAUUUUAAACCCUCUAACACACACACACACACACACACACUGGGCAUUUCACUCAGUGUUUGCUCUCGGAGAAGCAGCUGCAUUUUGCUGUCUUUGCAGGUAUCGAUUCCACCAACAGCAGCGUUUUUGUCUAACAGGUAACAGGCUGUGUUGGCCAGAGGCCGUCUCUGCGCAGAAAUAAUUCAACGUGGUGCCGUUGAGAAACAUGAGGCAAGCCCGUGCAGCUCUACGUGUCGCACAUCGAGAAUGGGAACAGAGCUGCACCGAGGCACCGUGUCCGUGGGAGGAGAACACGUUCCGCUGUCCUCCAGGGUUUCAAAGCCCGAUGGCGAGGGGAGAGCAGCAGAGAGCCUCCCAGCAGCCACCUAAUUACGCGUUCCACACGGCAGCGAGAUGAAGAGCAGCGUUUUAUCUGCCGCCUCCGUCCCACAACUUCUGCAGAGUAAUUGCUCGUUCUCAGCCUCCGUUUUCUCCACAGUGAGGACUCAAAGGCAGGGUGGGGCUGAGCGGUGCGUGUGUGUGCGUGCGCGCACAGAGAGGAGGUAAAUAUUUCUGGAUGUGUAGCCGUUUGUGGAAUUGUCUCUUAGGAUUGGAGAGCUGUGUGAAGCUGCACUCAGACCCUGUGGUGCUUUGAGCAAAAUGCAGUGACAGUGCCAACGUGUUCAUGUUUGCAGCUGAACCUUUAGCUAGCACACUACAAAGAAGCAGGUUGUGUGUUUUCUUUUUCUUGUCAAGAAGUUACCCGUCACUUAAAAAAUGUUACUCCUUUUAUAUUCUCGCUCCUCUUCUGUAGUGCUAGCUAGUUGUUGAUGUACACCGACCAUAGUUUAUAUUAAAAUCUGCCCCCAAAACACUGUUCCAGAUACUCCAGCCCGCUUUAACCGCCGACUGUGAUGCUGUAAGUGAUUAUUAGAUUACUUUUACUUUUUUUUUUUUCUCAUUGUGUAUGAUAAGCAGCAGUGAUGGGCACGCCAAUAAGAUUGUCUUAUUGGUUUGAUUUUUGAAGGUGUGCAGUGAUGGGGAAUAACAAAUUCCUGAAAGUAGAGAUAACUGUGUAAAAAUGCAGAAUGUAAAAGUAAAAAGUAAAAAAAAAAAAAAAAUACUCAAUAAAUACCUACACAUAUUUUAGUUUUGUACCACAGUUCAAAGAAAACCAUGCCAAGCUCAGAUUCAGGAGUGAUUUAGAAUUUGGUUGUAGGUGUGGAUGUGUGUUUGUUUCCCAUGGACUGGCAACUUGCCCAGGGCGUACCCCACCUCUGCCCCGUGACAGCUGGGGAGAGGUUGCCAGUGCAUCACACACAACCAUGCACCCUCAGACUCAAGCCCAGCGCCUUCUGACCUUUAGACUUCUGACAGUAACCGUAUGGAUCACAGGAUGUACCGAGCUGAGGAGGUCUCAGCCUAAAACAAAGGUCACGUAUUGAAAGCUGCAGCGCCUCUUCAGCGUUACUUCAGCGGUGGUGCGAGUGGAGCAGGAGGACUAAAAGAAAGGCUGCGGGAGGAAUUCUUUCUCUGCCUGAAGACAGCAAAGGACAGUAAACAAUAAGUAUAUUCAUAAAUAUUUAGAGAGAAUAUAUUUGUGUACAAGUAUUUAUCGAUUAACAUCUAUUAAUGUAAAAACAUGUAUUUUUCUAUAGCGCACCACUGCAGUUCCUGUUUUAGGCUUACAGAACACUGAACUUUCUGGAUCCUUUUUUACAAAUUAUUUCCAUUGUUUGGUUUUGAAGGUGUGAACUAGUUUUUCACCAUCUUCUGUUAUUUGUUUGCGAAUUUUCAGUCGGUUUUGAACCAGAUUCAGGCACACGAGGUGAACGCCGGUGCCUGCAGACGUCUGUGUGAAGAAGUGUUUUCAUGCUGUCGAGUUUAUCAGGACGUUUUAAUGUGCGUGGUGAGAAAAGGAGCCUCUCAGCAGAUCUGGCAGCUCCAGACUGAGAGGCUUUAUUAGCGAUAAGGGGGAAGUUGUGGUCUUAUUAAAACCGUUUGAGACUCGGAGAGCUGCCGGAGUGAUGAAGCACUGCAGGAAGAGGGAACCAAAGAGGUCAUAACACCUCCUCCAAAACAUUUAAUUGGUAUUUUUCACUUGUUUUUUUUUUUCCUUUUUGCUCAUGCCUGCUGUUUAAGAUAGGAAAUACUCAACAUUACUGACUGCUGCACAAUGCACAUCAGGCCUGGCUCACUUAUUACAGGGUUUUAUUAUUGCUGAGAGUCUCAAAGUGUCGGAGAAAAGAGAAAAAAAUCACACCACCAAAAACUAAAAUCAAAACUGCAACUGUUCUGGAGUUAAACAUCAGAGUGACUGCCAAACACACCACUCAUCUCUUUUUUGGGGUUCCAUAUUUAAAUAAAAUAAUAAAAAUACAUUUAAUGGUUUUAACAGGACAAUAAAUAAUAAAGAGUUGCAGCCUCUCCAGUGUGAAGACUUUAUUUUCAAAAUGGAUUUAAAAUGCUUUGGACUGAUGGGCAAAUCGAAUUUAUCCCACUUUAUUCACACAAAACAGAUUUUUGUAAGAGUUGAAAUAAUCCUUCACAUUUCACUGACCAUCACAGAUAAAUUAUAAAGUUAAUCUGCAGUGACAAACUGUUUAGGUUGAUGUAAUAAAAUAUGAAAGUAUUUACCAGUGCAACAGAAUCAUUUGAUGCAGACAUGAAAAAAUAAAUAAUCCAGCGCUCAGCCCGACUGAAUUUACCGUAAGAGAAAAAAGGUUACACAAAAAGCUCCAGUGUCUUUAUUUGAACGUGCGAUCUAAUAUCUAACAUUAUUUAGGCGAGCUUUAGUGACCGAAGCAGCUGCCAGUCACAGGGCCGGCGGACGCAGCUCUGAUGGGAGGAAAGAAGCAGUGAACAGGAAGUCGCUUUCUCUGAGGUCGGAUUCGCUUUCGUUCUAACGAAGCGAGUCGCUUUGACGUAAUGAGGACACGAAAACAUCUCGUUAGGAACUGCCAGCUCUGAUUAAACUUCAUUAGCUCUCUGUUUCUCUGCUGCAAUUUGCUUCUCCCUUUUCCACUCUGUCUCGCUUUAUUUUUGUCCGUCUCUUUAAGCUCCUCUGCUGCUUCUGUCUUCCAUAUUGUGUUUUUGUGGUUCACCAAUCAUUUUUUUAAAUGCUUUUUUAAAGGAUGUCAUAUUUCCAGCUCAAAUUAAUGAAUUAAUUCAUCAAUAUAAAUGAAAUGUUGCUGAUAUAAAAUCAGUCGGCCAUCCUGUUUUUCGUGUACUUCUCUACAGUACGUGUCAUUUCUGUUUGUUUUCUUUGUUACUACUCUUGGUUUUGUGUAUUUUCCCCAUCCUGUCAUUUAAGACGACCUCCACCCACUCGCUGCAGCAGUCUCACACGUCUUUAAAUAUAUUGUCAAGUUUUUUGAAAUCGAAACUUUUCUUUAAAGCAAAACCUAAAAAAAAUGCAAGCAGUUUAAUGUACUAAAUGUUAAAACUCUCUACUGUGCCGAUGUUUUUCCUAUUUCUUGAUCAAAUAAUUCCAUCUGUAUGUUUUAGGAACUAAAAGUUCUUUCCUCAAACUGCUGUUUCUCCUGAAGGCAGGAAGCCAAAGAUCAGCACCAUCUGAUGUCAUCUCAUAGCGAGGAAACUCAGUAAUUACUGCUGUUUUUAUUCCUUCCAAUCAUAUUACAGACGAUCAUGUGACCUCUGUGUGGGAGUCACCUGGCCCUGCCCUCUCUCUGGAUCUGACGGCGAACACGCAUUAUGCCGGUUGGUGUGAGUGACCUGUAGGCUGGCGUGGGCCCGGCGGGUUCACAGCGAAAUGCUAGCAGGAGCUUCUUGUUGGCCAAACGGAGAGAGUAGGAGGGCUGUUAUAUGAGCUGAUUGGUGGGAGUUUGUUGUGUAACGGCCGUCAGAGCGGUGGCGCAGCAAAACCGGAAAGCGUUGUUAGCUGGAAACUGAAGCCUCCUCAUAAUGAAAACUGAGUACAGCGAGAGGAAAUGAUGGUGAACAGAUAAUAAGGUUUAAAAUGAGGGUAAUGGUAUUAGUGAUUAUUGACAAUGGUCACCAGAGCAGACCAGAGAUCUUUCAUGUGGCCCUCCGGUGACGGUGGAUAAGUGUGAAAAACUGGAUGGGUGGAUGGGCAUUUAUUGUGAAAUCAGUGACCACAUCAGUUUAUUGAAAAUUACAGCAAGAUAAGAGAAACAUGAAGGGGAAUGAAAAAUGGGCAAUAAAUAAAAGUUGCAUUGCUGAGUUUUGGAUUUCAGUGCAACGUCUUCACAGAGUAGAACUCUGUGGUAUCUUUAUUUUGAAAUAUAAAGCACACUGAGACAACUGAUGCUGUAAACUGGUGAUUUUAAGGAUGAAAAAAUAAGAAACACUUCAAGUGGAGUCCUCACUGCAUAUCUAACAGAGUCAGCCUCCAGAGUGACAGUGAGCUGCGCAACUUCAAAAAUUAUGGUUUGAAAAGUUCAAGAAGACGUUUUUGCCUUGAGCAGAUUACACGGGAUGUCCUGUGGUGUGAACUGGCUUCUCUAGGACACAAAACUGGUUCAUGGGUUAAAGUUAAAGGAAGAAUGAACUAGAAACGUGCGAGACGAGUGAGACUCUUUAGAACGCAGGAACAGAGAGAAGCUAAAGUCUGAAAUCAACUGAAACGGAAAAAUAAAGCUCAAGAUACUUGGGCAAUUGUCAACCAACAACAAUGGAACUAAGAAUCAAAUAUAAUGUUAAAUAAUUAAGAAUUUAAAAGUCCACAAAAGGAAAAAAUAUCCCCAGGACCACAAUAAAAAAAGUGCUUCGAACAUUUGAUGGCUUUGGCCCAAAACCAGCUGUUUAAAAGCUUUUUUCUCCUCUGGUAUUUCUACUUGUCAAAUUACUCGCUGCAUUAUUUACUGCUGUGGAGUCCUACAGAAGAUUUCAAUUCUGGAUUAUCUGAGUGUCAUUACUCUCUUAUAAUAAUAAGCAUGCUACAGCACAAGGACCAAAUCCUACCACAUUAUUAUGACAUGGAAAACUGACUUUUUCCUUUUUCUUUACAUAUUGUCUAAAAUUUAGAAGAUGUCAAAGACAUCGUCACGUUAAUUGGCUAAUAU